GUCCGUAUCUCCAGGCCUCCCCGGGAGGGGAGGGCCGGGGUGUUGGGUUGUGCCAUCCUCGGCGAGUGAGGAUGGGCCUCAAAUGGAGUGGCAGCAAUCGGGUCCGGUCCCAGAGCAUGAUGGGGCUAUCGUCACCGGCUCUGGAGGACUGGAUUCCGGUCGCUAGCCCAAGGGAUCAACCAUUCUCG
rnacentral:misc_RNA from 1 species